UAAGACGAACCGUGCGAACGUUGUUCGGAAUCACUGGGCUUAAAGGGCGCGUAGGCGGACCGCCAAGUCCGGGGUGAAAGCUUUCGGCUCAACCGGAAAAGGGCCUUGGAUACUGGCGGCCUCGAGGGAGGUAGGGGCAGGUGGAACUUCCGGUGGAGCGGUGAAAUGCGUUGAUAUCGGAAGGAACGCCGGUGGCGAAAGCGGCCUGCUGGACCUCUUCUGACGCUGAGGCGCGAAAGCCAGGGGAGCGAACGGGAUUAGAUACCCCGGUAGUCCUGGCCCUAAACGAUGGGUACUAGGUAGUGGACUGACAUGGGUUCCCUGCCGAAGCCAAAGUGGUAAGUACCCCGCCUGGGGAGUAUGGUCGCAAGGCUG
rnacentral:rRNA from 1 species